CUACGGGACGCUCCAGUGGGGAAUAUUGCACAAUGGGCGCAAGCCUGAUGCAGCCAUGCCGCGUGUAUGAAGAAGGCCUUCGGGUUGUAAAGUACUUUCAGCGGGGAGGAAGGGAGUAAAGUUAAUACCUUUGCUCAUUGACGUUACCCGCAGAAGAAGCACCGGCUAACUCCAUGCCAGCAGCCGCGGUAAUAGCGGAGGGUGCAAGCGUUAAUCGGAAUUACUGGGCGUAAAGCGCACGCAGGCGGUUUGUUAAGUCAGAUGUGAAAUCCCCGGGCUCAACCUGGGAACUGCAUCUGAUACUGGCAAGCUUGAGUCUCGUAGAGGGGGGUAGAAUUCCAGGUGUAGCGGUGAAAUGCGUAGAGAUCUGGAGGAAUACCGGUGGCGAAGGCGGCCCCCUGGACGAAGACUGACGCUCAGGUGCGAAAGCGUGGGGAGCAAACAGGAUUAGAUACCCCAGUAGUC
rnacentral:rRNA from 1 species